rnacentral:rRNA from 1 species
GAUGAACGCUAGCUACAGGCUUAACACAUGCAAGUCGAGGGGUAACGAGAGGAAAGCUUGCUUUCCUUGUCGACGACCGGCGCACGGGUGAGUAACGCGUAUCCAACCUGCCCCCAACUAGGGAAUAACCUUGCGAAAGUAAGACUAAUACCCUAUAAUUUCCUCAGCUGUCAUCUGACGAGGAAUAAAGAUUUAUCGGUUGUGGAUGGGGAUGCGUCUGAUUAGCUUGUUGGCGGGGUAACGGCCCACCAAGGCAACGAUCAGUAGGGGUUCUGAGAGGAAGGUCCCCCACAUUGGAACUGAGACACGGUCCAAACUCCUACGGGAGGCAGCAGUGAGGAAUAUUGGUCAAUGGGCGGAAGCCUGAACCAGCCAAGUAGCGUGCAGGAUGACGGCCCUAUGGGUUGUAAACUGCUUUUAUACAGGAAUAAAGUUAGCCACGUGUGGUUAUUUGUAGGUACUGUAAGAAUAAGGACCGGCUAAUUCCGUGCCAGCCGCCGCGGUAA